GGGGUGAUGACGAGAGGCUUGCCCCUCAGUGUCGGGGUGAUGACGAGAGGCUUGCCCCUCAGUGUCGGGGUGAUGACGAGAGGCUUGCCCCUCAGUGUCGGGGUGAUGACGAGAGGCUUGCCCUUCAGUGUCGGGGUGAUGACGAGAGGCUUGCCCCUCAGUGUCGGUGUGAUGACGAGAGGCUUGCCCCUCAGUGUCGGGGUAAUGACGAGAGGCUUGCCCCUCAGUGUCAGGGUGAUGACGAGAGGCUUGCCCCUCAGUGUCGGGGUGAUGACGAGAGGCUUGCCCUUCAGUGUCGGGGUGAUGAUGAGAGGCUUGCCCCUCAGUGUCGGGGUGAUGACGAGAGGCUUGCCUCUCAGUGUCGGGGUGAUGACGAGAGGGGCGCCUCUCAGUGUCGGGGUGAUGACGAGAGGCUUGCCCUUCAGUGUCGGGGUGAUGAUGAGAGGCUUGCCCUUCAGUGUCAGUGUGAUGAUGAGAGGCUUGCCCUUCAGUGUCGGGGUGAUGAUGAGAGGCUUGCCCCUCAGUGUCGGGGUGAUGACGAGAGGCUUGCCCCUCAGUGUCGGGGUGAUGACGAGAGGGGCGCCUCUCAGUGUCGGGGUGAUGACGAGAGGCUUGCCCCUCAGUGUCCAGGUGAUGACGACAGGGGCGCCCCCGCAACAUGUCCCAGAGGCAGCUCUCCUAAUUGGUUAAUUAAUCCUCACAAAGGCUUGUCUGCAGCGUCAGAGGCGUGAGUGCUGAGAGAGG
rnacentral:lncRNA from 1 species